AGGGUUUGUUCUGUCUUUUUCUAAGAUUUAUUUUUAUUUUUUAAUUGUAUGAAUCGUGUGCACUUGUGAGUGCAGGUGUCCACAGAGUCCAGAACGUGUCAGAUCCCUGGAUGCUGGCAAUGGUAGUCAGGUCCCCCAAGAGCAACAAGUGCUGUCAAAACUGAGCCACCAUGACCCUUGACAUUUUGAAUUUGACUUGACCUAAAUAAUGUGAGUGGCUUAUACACCUGAGUUUGAGCAGCUUUGCACACCUGUGUUCUACACCAGUGUCCCUUCCUGUGGAUUAUUCAUGGAUCUUGUUAAAUUUUCUUCCAUUUGUCUUUUCCCAUUUAUUCUAACACACCACACAAACACAUACAGACACACACAGAGAUCAUAUACACCACACACCCACACCAUAACACCACCCAUAUCACACACACAGACACACAAUCACACACACUGAUACACAUACCACACACAGAGAGACACACAUACCACACAUAUAUCAUACACACAGACACAGAUACACACCAUACCACACACAUACACACACACACCACACACAUACCACACACAGACACACAUGCACAGACUAUUCAC
rnacentral:lncRNA from 1 species